rnacentral:piRNA from 1 species
UGAAUUAUUUCUACUGUUUCU